rnacentral:rRNA from 1 species
UACGUAGGGUGCAAGCGUUGUCCGGAAUUAUUGGGCGUAAAGAGCUCGUAGGCGGUCUGUCGCGUCGGCUGUGAAAACUCGGGGCUCAACCCCGAGCCUGCAGUCGAUACGGGCAGACUAGAGUGCGGUAGGGGAGACUGGAAUUCCUGGUGUAGCGGUGAAAUGCGCAGAUAUCAGGAGGAACACCGGUGGCGAAGGCGGGUCUCUGGGCCGUAACCGACGCUGAGGAGCGAAAGCGUGGGGAGCAAACAGG